rnacentral:misc_RNA from 1 species
GUGCUGUAGUUUGACGAAUGAAGGAGAUACCCGCACACUCGCUUACCUGCUUCCGGGAGCGAGCGCCAGUCGUGGAACCGAAAGCACCUGGGCAGUCAGUCCAGGUCUGAUGGCCUCGUUCGAGGUUGCUGGCGGAGCUACCGUGGUGCCCAGUGCCCCGCUUCCCAGCGACUCGAGUCGCCGGCCUUCAGCUCGCUGCCGGAUAUGCAAAUCGCUUUGCUCCCCAGGCGUUUCUAGAUGGUGGUUUCGUUGCAUACAGCCGUUCAGGAUGGCGUGCGCUCGGUAUCCGCACCGGCCGGGAUACCGAGCAGAAUCAGCUCAUCUUCGAGCAUCCAGCUGCGCAAGUGUCCAAGUCGACACGUGUGCGCACUCGAUGAACCACGCGUAAAGGCCGGAACGCUCCGCACGUCGUUUCCAAUGAAGCAAUUCGCAAUCGUGAUGAUAACCAGGUUGCAACGUCGCCCAAGCGCGUCGUCUGUCGUUGUCGCUUGGAGUAGACUGGAGAUCACCCGUCUGCCGCCUUCAACAAAGAGCGAGGGUGCACUGACCUCGGCGCGCCAGUCAGCCUCGCGAGGCACCAGCAGCAGCUCGUGUCGGCGCUGGCACCACAGGCGUGACUGUUUCAGGCCUGUAGACUCACGGGUGCCGUCGUGCGGGAGCAGGACCACUGGUCGAGGUUGCGUCCAACCUGGAGGCGUAUGCGUUCCCGGUAUACCGCAACGCACUGUGAGCAACGGGUCGUCUGAUACCAGGGUGUUCCACCCGACAGCAACUGCAUGAUGCAUAGCUCGAAGUGCGUGUGUCAGACGUUGCGCCCGGGGACUAGACAGUCGCAGGGGAGCGGCCCCGGUUGUCUCGCGAAAGUCGAUCCGCCCGUCAAGUGACUGGGCGAACGAUAGGGUCACGAACCAGGGCCGCUCCUCUUCAGCUGCAACUUUUUGGUGUUCAUAAACAACCCUCAGGAUGGUGUCCUCUGGCUCCGUUCCCAACUGUACCAGCCAGGGCCAACGAGCGGACGCGUCUCCCAGAACCCCCAUAACGGAGCGUGAGCGCCGCGCUGGACCUGGUCUUUUGUGCACCUGCGCCUUGGCUGGUUGCUCUUCGCCGACGCUGAGGGUUCAGCGCUGGCUGACUGGCUAACGGUUGGUUGGUUGAUUGUUUCCUCACUUCAGAAUACCGCACGAACGGCUGAAAUUGACGGCACUUCUUAAUCAGCGGUUUGGUUGCUAAAGCGUGUGUUGCAAAGACGUUCCUGGCACACACCCGGUGCGCCGGCUGAAGCGCUCUACUACCCGUGGACCGGCGAGAGCCAGCGCCGUACAAGUCGAGUUUGCUGGGCGCGAAGCGGUCGACUUUCUAUGGGAUCGGCAUUUUUUGCCUAGACAGGUUCUUCGUGGCCUGAUUGCUGUGCUUUAGAGGCUGCUACAGAUCAAGAAAGCCGACACUUCACGUCAUGUGGAGCGGCGUGAGAUUGUUGUACCAGUUCUUUACGUAUUGGAGGCAGGGACGGCGGUUGGAGAAACUGGUACGCCAGAGACUCCAGCAAGAAGUAACUGUUGCCCGCGCCUUACUGGAACGCGCUCAGGCGCAACACAAGGCACUGGAAGAACUUCAUCGUCUGAGCCGUAGCACGCUUGACCUGCUCCCUAUUCUCAAAAGCCAGUCUGCCGCACAGCAAAGCCUCCGAACGGCGGAGCCUGCUGCGACGAAACUGCAACAAGAGCGCACAAAAGCAGCGGAAAAGCCAGAAGAGGUCUCGCCGCUGGUCGCUACUUCUUUGGACCCGCGUAUGGCAGACGCGAUCAGAGCUGCAUCGAGCAUGCUCUUUCGGGAACUACGACACGUUCGUGACAACCACGGCACCGAUGGCCUACGUCGCUAUUUAGUGCAGCGCAUCCGUGAAGCCGGUAUGUCUCGGGAGCGCCUCGAGCACCUCAUGCAAAGCGUUGCAAGCGAGCCGGGAAACCCAGAUCCCGGCUCUGGGGGUUCAGUGGCGCAUCGGGAACGUUUACUUCAAGAGCUUGGUUGUGGGUCUCCAAAUAACGCUGUGCAAUCACCGAAUACCUACGAGCAGCAAAGUCCGACCAGUUGUAUCGAUUCAAGCAAACCGAAGCGGUAACGUCUCGCGCGCCCGAGCAGAGCGCUGCGGUCACGCUCUCCGUUUUCGAGCAAGAGGCGCUCACAGGGAGUCGCGCGUCUACAUGUUGCUCACGCAACUAUAUCGACGCGUUUCUUCCUUGGCAGAUGUCUUCGCGCAAACCAGACGAAUGUUGCACUUGGGAAGCUGGCGCUCAGUGCUUAGCGCCGCCGCCGCGGACAGGUCCCUAGCGCUGCGCAGGUGCGUGCCCGCGUCAGCUAGUCCGUGCGCUCCUCCGCGCCGCCUGAAGCGCCUGAGCCAACACCAACAGCACCACCACCACGCAAGUCAUCGAGCGCUCCCUUUUCCUUGGCCAGUCUAAAAACCGC